GGCUCCAUAGCUUAGAGGAAAGAAGCGCCCGUCUAGCUAAAUGGGAGUCGUGGGUUCGAUUCCCACCGGAGCAC
rfam:Aedes albopictus isolate Foshan contig88492, whole genome shotgun sequence.